GGGCACGACACCGGAGAGGGAGCCUGAGAAACGGCUACCACAUCCAAGGAUGGCAGCAGGCGCGCAAAUUACCCAAUCCCGACACGGGGAGGUAGUGACAAUAAAUAACAAUACGGGGUUCUUUAGGAUCUCGUAAUUGGAAUGAGUACAAUUUAAAUCUCUUAACGAGGAACAAUUGGAGGGCAAGUCUGGUGCCAGCAGCCGCGGUAAUUCCAGCUCCAAUAGCGUAUAUUAAAGUUGUUGCAGUUAAAAAGCUCGUAGUUGAAUUUCGGGGUUAGUAGGUUGGUCAUGCCUCUGGUAUGUACUGGUCUCACUGAUUCCUCCUUCCUGAUGAACCGUAAUGCCAUUAAUUUGGUGUUGCGGGGAAUUUGGACUGUUACUUUGAAAAAAUUAGAGUGUUUAAAGCAAGCUAACGCUUGAAUACAUUAGCAUGGAAUAAUGAAAUAGGACGUUCGAUCCUAUUUUGUUGGUUUCUAGGAUUGACGUAAUGAUUAAUAGGGAUAGUUGGGGGCAUUAGUAUUCAAUUGUCAGAGGUGAAAUUCUUGGAUUUAUUGAAGACUAACUACUGCGAAAGCNUUUGCCAAGGAUGUUUUCAUUAAUCAAGAACGAAAGUUAGGGGAUCGAAGACGAU
rnacentral:rRNA from 1 species